rnacentral:rRNA from 1 species
AGUUUGAUCCUGGCUCAGAGUGAACGCUGGCGGUAGGCCUAACACAUGCAAGUCGAACGGCAGCACAGUAAGAGCUUGCUCUUAUGGGUGGCGAGUGGCGGACGGGUGAGGAAUACAUCGGAAUCUACCUUUUCGUGGGGGAUAACGUAGGGAAACUUACGCUAAUACCGCAUACGACCUUCGGGUGAAAGCAGGGGACCUUCGGGCCUUGCGCGGAUAGAUGAGCCGAUGUCGGAUUAGCUAGUUGGCGGGGUAAAGGCCCACCAAGGCGACGAUCCGUAGCUGGUCUGAGAGGAUGAUCAGCCACACUGGAACUGAGACACGGUCCAGACUCCUACGGGAGGCAGCAGUGGGGAAUAUUGGACAAUGGGCGCAAGCCUGAUCCAGCCAUACCGCGUGGGUGAAGAACGCCUCCGGGUUGUACAGCCUUUUGUUGGGGAAAGAAAACCAGUCGAUUAAUACUCCGGUUGUCCUGACGGUACCCCAAGAAUAAGCCCCGG